GAAGGGGUCUUAGGGUGAGAAGCGUGAGAAGUGAUCUCACCCAUCCGAUUAACCAAAUCCAACGGCGCGAAUUGCGUCUGUAUUACUAAAUCUAACGACAAUUUGUAAAAUGGACAACUUUUCCCUCUUAACAAUGAGGCCCACACAAUGGGUUGUCCGCAAUUCCGUAAGUGUUGUCCGUGUGUUGAUACUGUGCUCAUCUCUAUCCUCUACCUUUUUCCAUUUCCUUCUACUCCGUAUUUCCUAAUUUAUAUGCUUUCCAUGACACACAUUGAUAUGUCGUUCAUAUUCUUCCACCUGAUCUAUCCCUUUAAUAGAAUUUAAUUUUUCCAAACAACAGCAUCUCUUAACAAUGGAGUCACUUUCAAAAGGAAAUCAGAAAUUUUAUAUACAUUGAGUAAGCAUUGGAGGUACAUUAGGUAGCCAUUGGAGAUACAUUGAAUAACAGUUGGAGGUACAUUGAGUAAUAACCAUUUUGAGGUGCAUUAUCAAUGGCGUCGAUGUAGUUUCCGCCAUAGGAUUUUCACUGUUACAGAGGAGACAGGAAGUGAGUUUUUCUAUGGCCAAACCCCCACCUCCUGUUGCUUUCUCCAUCAUAUUCAUCAUCCAUCUCGAAAAAUAGAGAUACAUCAACUAUAUACCACAGGUACAUUGGAAAUAUAGAAGAUACACAUGAAGUACAUUAUAGAUACAUAAAAAUUCUAGAUACUCAGUUGGAAAUGUAUUUAGUGCCAUUGAUGUAUAAAGCAGAGACAAAGAAUUAAAAUUUGUCAAUGGCUUGGGGAAGAAGAUGAUUAAAGAGGAGAAUUGGGAUGAUGGGCGCGUUAAGCCAUUUUCGCACUCGAGAUAUUGCUUUCAGUUUACAGGAGAGAGAUGGAGAGAUAAAAAAGGAUGCAGUGGUCGUUUCUGGGGACGACAACGUGACAAUGGGAACAAAAUUUUGAACAGUACCAAAUUAAUGACACGCGUAUAUUUUAGGUCGUUCGAUUAAUUUGAUCAAGGGCUAUCGAUGCUUCUCACGCUUCUCACGAUAAGAGCACUUCUCGCGUAUAUCUUUCGUUUUAUGAUUGUUGAUUAUAAGUGAUCAAGUGGCAACAUACACGAGGGAUCCAAGUAAAAUGACUAAGAGUAUGCAGGUGGACAACGGCAAUGAAGAGAUAGAAGGAAGAGGCCUUCAAGAAGAUUCUUGAAGCUGAUAAUAUUCUGAAUGUGUAGAGAUAAAAGGAGUUGGAUGCUAGCUAGGCAUAAGUUGGAGUUGGAGAUAGAGAAGUUAAAAGGAGAAUGAAUUUGAAGUUAUGAAGCACCUGGGAGAUAAUGAUGAUGAUGCCGUAGUUCAGAGAAAGAUGAAGGAAAUGGCGGAAAAGAUGUAAAAUAUAAAAUAUAUAAAUCGAAUAUAAUUGUUAGACUAGAAUGUAUAUGUCUAUGAUUGUACUGUAAAAUAUAAAAUAUAUAAAAUCGAAUAUAAUUGUUAGA